rnacentral:tRNA from 1 species
GCUGGUAAACUAAAGGUUAGGUGCAUAUUUCGGCUAUGCUUUUGGUGCUUGGGCACCUACUAGUU